rnacentral:lncRNA from 1 species
UAAAUUUGAGUCGGAGUUUCAGAAAACCUACAAUGCCCAGAAGUUCUGGAAGGUCCCAGACCCUAAGCUGAGGAGAAGGCUCCGGGUGGCUGUUAUUGACAAAGUCAUUCCAAGCUUUCAGAAAUACUUGGAGUACAAUGGUAUCAGCCCCUUAAAAAUCACUCCCCAUGAUCUCAUGGACAUGUUGCAGGAGCUAUUUGAAGGGUGAACAAGCAAGCAAAGAGCCAAGGAAAGGAACCUAAGUUGCCACAGGUGCAAUCGUUUAUGUAUCCUUUGAGUGUUCUGUGUUUAAAUGUUUGGUUUUGGAACAAAGUAGUUGUUUCAGACGAAUAGAUUCUGAAAAAGAUGAUCACUGCAUAUACUUAUGUAUAUAAUGAUCGUUGCAUUAAGAUAGUAAUAAUAUUUGCCAAAUGUGCCAAACUAACGCGCAUGCUUGAUACUGCAACAAGAUGAUAAGAUUGGAUUCUGAAAAAAAAAGUGUCACUCUGUUUUGCUCUGUUCUACUCUGUUUGGCUGCAUGAAAGAAACGUCUUGAGCUGGUCAAACGCAUGGGAGCAGCAUACCUCUAGUCUAGUAUUGUGCACUGGCAGUACAGUAGGUGAGAUGAUACUAUGUUUGCAAGGGACAUUCUGGGGCCGGCUCUAUAGUUUGAAGGAUCCUAAGGUGAAUGGGUAAUUAUGGGCUCUUUAGGCUUAUUCUUUUUCAUUUCUAGCAUGAUAAAACAUGUAUUAGUACUAGUAAGCAUUAACACAAAAAUGUACUUAGUUUUUUAUAAAGCAAUGCCAAUACUGCAACAGGACAAACUAAACCAACAACAAAACUGAAAUAGUAUGGUUACCUCAAAUAAGAACCAAACUCAACGCCAUUGACAAUAUUACUUCAGUGCUUCUGAAAAAAAAACUCAUACAAUCAUUUCUUAAUGUAAAAUCAUUAAUGAUAAUAUCUUAGUCAAUGUGGUACAUAUCAGAUGCAAUGCUUUUUUUUAAUCAAAGGGCCACCCCAUUUCCAUUACAAAGUUUUUUUUUGAAGAUCCACUAAUAAGGAUUUCUAUAUAUCCGACCAAAAUGAUAAAGAAUAUCCCAAUCUGAUAAAUCAUUCCAAACGGGUUUAGUAAUAGGAUGCUCUGAUCCAGUACAAAAUUGAGUUUUUGAUAAGGAUCCAAGAAGGGGAGUUGCAGAGACUGUGAUAUCAAAUUUUUUUCAUCCGAGUAUCUAUUAGAAAAAGAUUUUUUUCAGCAUUUGAUUCUUUACUAGUAAAGUAUUUCUGCAACAGAAAUACAACAUUUAGAACUUUUAGGUAGCAAUAUAGAGGGCAGAAGGAGCUAGAGAAACAAGUUUGAUUACCAUACUUAAAACAAUAUAAAUGUGUGUUCCACGUACUUCCCUUCUAAUUCCCGGCCUAUGCAUGAUAUAUAUGUUGAUGAUCUGCAUUGCAGGAACCGGUACCUCCAACAUCAUUUUUGUCCAUAUAUCCCUGCUUGAUGGGAUUUAUGGGCGUUCUAGGUGGCUUUGCUGAGCUAAAGACAACCCCUCUAUGCAUGUCUUACACGGGUCUUCCCGGGAGGUGUUUGUGGGUUUAUUGAGCAAAAAAUAAGCAUUAAAUCAGCCUUGUUGAUCUCCUAGUAGGUCUCACCAUUUAGACCUCCUUCAACUACAUGCUAGGUUGCGUGCGGUCUACGGAGAAUAUAGCCUCUACUUGUGUGCCCGAAUCGACAUCAACAUACUCCUUCUUUACCUAUAAAGAAAAUUAUUUUGGACAAGGUUUUGUUAAACAUUGGGAAUAUAGGUCAUAAAUAACUUUUAAGUUAUUAAGUUUAAAAAUAUAAAAACCAUAUAAAUAGAUUUAUCUUAAAAAUACUUUUAUAAAAUAUACAUAUAUCAUUUUUUGAUAAAUAUUUUUAUAAAAAAAAGAGAGUUAACGUUAGGAUUUGGAGUCUGUGGCUGUCUUAAAAUGUAUGGAGGGAGUACUUUUUAUUAACUGAACGACUUGUUUGGAGGUACAUGGACAAAUGGUAUGUAUCUUGUUGAUCGGCAGGACGCCCCAAGUCUAGUCAACGACACCGUUUCAGGCAAAGCCAGUUCCCCAAGUCGGGGUUCCUGGCUGCAGGGUCUCCAAGGAUUCAUCGAUCGGUUGGGUUCCAAGUGAUCCCAUCGCAUCCCAUCCAGGCCGGGCAUCCAGCGCGUCGUGCAAGGCAGCAGUGGGAUCGGAGAGCAUGGAAGCCAAAGGUGCCUCAGCAUCCCGCACGCUCUCCGGCGAUGUUUCUUGGAAGCCGAACUGGCGGCGGGAGCUGCGAUCCAGUCCCGGCGGCAGCAGCAGCACCACCAUCUCACACCCUCUCGACCCCCAACAGUAACACACCUCGGUGCCUUAGCCCGCUGCCCACCAAUGGCUGUUUCGACCCGAUUCUUGACCUGAGCUGGUGGGUCUGCGAAGACAGAGAGAAGAAGCUUGACUUCGUCAUGCGCCUGUUCGACGACUUCUGUGUGGCCAAUGGAGACGCCAGCAGUGUGCUGGAGCUUUGGCUCCCGGAGAUGGCGGCAGUCAGCCGCCGUCGCCAUGUCGUCGCCGGCGAUCCCACCAGCUUGCUGCAAUUCGCAGGGAGCUGGGUCGGGGCUCUUACUGGCAUCGCCGAAUCUAUCCGCAACGCUUACCUCGCCGCCAUGUUCAGUGUUCCUGAGGGAGGGCCUGUGCACGUCCAGUUAGUUAGCACGAUUUACCAGAGCAUUCAUCUUGAAGAUGAGUCCUUUUGUUGACGCCGUAGUUGCUCCGUAUUCUUCCUGCAGCAUCACCCACGGCGGCGGUGAGAGUGAGAUCAUUGUCGUUGCUGAUGGAGCACCGUCACCGACAGCACAGCCUCUGAUAGGUGUACGCGAGGCAGUGUCCAGGGCGUCGCAGGACAUCCGGCUAUCCUUCUGCUCCACAUCAUCAGUGGAAGCGAAGAUGAUCACACAGAUGAGAUGGCCAGCCUCUUGUUAUCGAAAGCAGGCGAGCUGGAUAUGGAGCAUCAUACAGGAGGUCAGGGCCCAUCUUCUGCCGUCCACAGAGCUGGAGGUGGACGAUGGCCCGUGGUGGGGUGCUCAAAUACAGGUGGUGGGCUGUUGUAAGCUAGUACAUCAGUUUGCUGUCGGCCAACUGCGCUACAGUGUAUCGGAUUGUCGGACAAUUUGCAGCAAGAUUCCCUGGGUAUGUGCCUACAAUUGACAGCAUGAGCCCUCUGAACAGCCUCAUCAUGGAGACGGUGUCAGGUUUGGAUGAAAAGCUCGCUGAGAAAUCCCGAUCGUUCCCUGACCAGAGCUUAAGGUUCCUAUUCUUGAUCAACAACUCCUACUUCAUAUGGCAGCACCUCUAUCCAAUUUCGGUUCCGGAGGUCAACAAUUUCCUCGAGGUAAAGAUCGACAACUAUGUCCAAACAUAUCUGCAAGUGUCUUGGGAACCGGUGUUGUCAUGCCUGUGCAGUUCUACGCCUCUCUGCUUUGGGAAAAACUACUCCCUUCCCUUGUACCUAAAUUUGAGUCGGAGUUUCAGAAAACCUACAAUGCCCAGAAGUUCUGGAAGGUCCCAGACCCUAAGCUGAGGAGAAGGCUGCGGGUAGCUAUUAUUGAGGAAGUCGUUUCGAGCUUUACGAAAUACUUGGAGUAUAAUGAUAUCAUCCCCUCAAGAAUCACUCCCCAUGAUCUCAUGGACAUGUUGCAAGAGCUAUUCGAAGGGUGAACAAGUACGCAAAGAGCCAAAGAAGGAAUGAACUUGUCACAGGUGCAAUUGUUUAUGUACUAUACGUGUUUAGAUUUUUUUUGCUUGUUGCAUCAAAUGACUUUACA